rnacentral:rRNA from 1 species
UACGGGGGGGGCAAGCGUUGUUCGGAAUUACUGGGCGUAAAGGGCUCGUAGGUGGCCAACUAAGUCAGACGUGAAAUCCCUCGGCUUAACCGAGGAACUGCGUCUGAUACUGGAUGGCUUGAGUUUGGGAGAGGAAUGCGGAAUUCCAGGUGUAGCAGUGAAAUGCGUAGAUAUCUGGAGGAACACCGGUGGCGAAGGCGGCAUUCUGGACCAAUACUGACGCUGAGGAGCGAAAGCCAGGGGAGCAAACGGG